rnacentral:pre_miRNA from 1 species
AUGUAGAGCAAUCUGUCUUUAAGUAGGACUAAAUUACUCUUUAAAAAAAAAAUAAAAAAGAUUCCUAGACAGUUUUCCCUUCAACUCAAGCAUCUUAU